UACGAAGGGGGCUAGCGUUGUUCGGAAUCACUGGGCGUAAAGCGCACGCAGGCGGAUCGUUAAGUCAGGGGUGAAAUGCCGAGGCUCAACCUCGGAACUGCCUUUGAUACUGGCGAUCUUAGAGUCCGGGAGAGGUGAGUGGAACUGCGAGUGUAGAGGUGAAAUUCGUAGAUAUUCGCAAGAACACCAGUGGCGAAGGCGGCUCACUGGCCCGGAACUGACGCUGAGACGCGAAAGCGUGGGGAGCAAACAGG
rnacentral:rRNA from 1 species